UAGUUUAAAUUAACUUAAACCCCUAAGUAGAUUUAGUUAAAAAGAAAGAACAUUUGACUUGCAAUCAAAAAG
rnacentral:tRNA from 1 species